UGGGUAACCUGCCUCAAAGAGGGGAAUAGCCUCCCGAAAGGGAGAUUAAUACCGCAUAAUAUGUUUAAGUCGCAUGACUUUAACAUCAAAGGAUUUUCUUUUAGAAAUUCCACUCUGAGAUGGACCCGCGGCGCAUUAGCUAGUUGGUGAGGUAACGGCUCACCAAGGCAACGAUGCGUAGCCGACCUGAGAGGGUGAUCGGCCGCAUUGGAACUGAGACACGGUCCAGACUCUACGGGAGG
rnacentral:rRNA from 1 species